CUGGUGUUCGGGUUGUCAUGCCAAUGGCACUGCCCGGUAGCUAAAUGCGGAAGAGAUAAGUGCUGAAAGCAUCUAAGCACGAAACUUGCCCCGAGAUGAGUUCUCCCUGACUCCUUGAGAGUCCUGAAGGAACGUUGAAGACGACGACGUUGAUAGGCCGGGUGUGUAAGCGCAGCGAUGCGUUGAGCUAACCGGUACUAAUGAACCGUGAGGCUUAACCUUACAACGCCGAAGCUGUU
rnacentral:rRNA from 1 species